rnacentral:tRNA from 1 species
GGGGAUGUGGUCUAGUGGUAUGAUUCUCCAUCCGGGUUGGAGAGGUCCCGAGUUCGAUUCUCGGCAUCCCCC